GUCCGGUCAUUGUUUUCUGUUUCUGUAUGCUCUUGUCCAUGCUCUUCCCAAAUGAUCUAGUUCUCUGGAUGAGUCAAACAGAACAGUACAGAGAGACUUCAGCUUCAAUGUUAUCCGGCCCCUCACCUUGAUGAUAAGAAUCAGAGAUCUACCACUGUUUCUAAAAAAAAAAAAAAAAAAUCCAACUACUGUCGUUCUGCUGCCGGCGGCGAGAACUGUAAAACCUGAAAAGCUCACGCAGGAUGGACGGAGAUGUCGCCUCUGGACACGGCUGCCAUUAAACUCCCCUAACUGACCGAUGAUGAAGAAAAAUCCAAGUGCAGAUGGCAUCGCGCGGCCAAACGAUGGCAAUGAAUCAGAUAGAUACAAUCAUCAAUUUGUGGGACGAGAGAUUGGCUCCAGCAGGAAAAACAGGCCGCCUCUCCAUUGAUUCUGCGGCGGCCAAUAAUGACGCAGAAUCCAUCAGCGAUCGGGGUUGGGGGGUGGGGAGGAGGAGGGGGGCACGUUUGUGUCCUCGGCGUGUUUCUCGCCGUUCAUUACAGUCGGAAUGAAUGUCCAUAUUGUGGCCAUUAUGUUCAUGACAAAGAUAGCGGAGGUGUCAGACGGUGCGGGCAGGUGUGGUGGGAGGCAGACAGGACGCAAAUGAUGUCUGAGGGAAACAACUGUGAUGAGUCAACGUGAGGCAACUGAAAUAUACAUUCCUCCACGACUAACCGCUGACAGCUGCAUUCGGAAGAAAAGGAAGGAACUGCGAGGAAAAACACACACUGUGACUGAUGAGAGUUAAUUUUGUUAAACCUAUUAUCCAAUUUUUGUCAUUAAAACACGGAUUAUCUCUUUAUCCUAAAUGGUGAUUUUGUGCUGUGUGUGGAUAUUUUUUUCCCCCUGGAUACCAGUAGAAGCUAAUUAAAGGUGCAUUGUGUAGUUUUGGGGAAGAGAGAUCUUCAAUUUUGAUUCA